rnacentral:misc_RNA from 1 species
CCGAGUUGCAAAACUCCAAACCCAUGUGAACAUACCUCGUGUUGCCUCGGCGGCGAGCGAAGUGCUCGGUAGGUGCCUACCCGGCACCUACCCUGGAGCUACCCUGCAGCUACCUACCCGGUAGCUGUGAGGUACCUACCCUGGAGCUACCCUGUAGGACUGGCGCAUCCGCCGAAGGACCACCUAAACUCUUGUUUCUGUGUGGCACGUCUGAGUAAUUAUUUAAUAAGUCA